UAGAGCACUGAAUGGCUUAGGGGCCCCACCAGGCUGCCAAAACCAAUCAAACUCCGAAUACCGUCGGUCCCAUUAUCAGAGGAAUCAGGCAGUAGGUGAUAAGAUCAAUUGCCGAGAGGGCAACAGCCCAGACCAUCAGCUAAGGUGCCUAAAUGUGAUUAAGUGGAAAGGAUGUGACGUUGCUUAGACAGUGAGGAUGUUGGCUUAGAGGCAGCCACCAUUUAAACAGUGCGUAAUAGCUGACUCAUCGAGCGAUGUUGCGCCGAAAAUGAUUGGCGAUUAAACGAUAUACCGAAGCUGCGGAUUGACCUGUGGUUCGCCAUAGGUCAGUGGUAGGAGAGCGUAAUCGAUGCGCCGAAGCCGAACUGAAAAGAACGGUGGAGCGUCGAUUAGUGAGAAUGCAGACAUGAGUAGCGAUAAAACAGAUGAGAAUUCUGUUCGCCGUAAACCUAAGGUUUCCUGGGGCAGGUUCGUCCUCCCAGGGUUAGUCGGGAGCUAAGAUGAGACCGUAAGGUGUAAUCGAUGCACAGCAGGUAUAACAUUCCUGCACCGGCCAGGGCGCUGCGUAGAGUGGACGCGAAGAGGGACAGAGCUAAGUCAUUGAUAGACUGAGCUGCGGCUUCGGCCAAAGCGUACUUUGAAACGAUUCGCCUAGAAAAGACUCUACGAUUAUCCCUAGUCGCCCGUACCGUAAACCGACACAGGUGGGUGGGUCGAGUAGACCAAGGCGCACGAGAGAAACCUCUCUAAGGAACUCGGCAAAUUAGCCCCGUAACUUCGGGAGAAGGGGUGCCUGCUUCGGCAGGCCUCAGUAAAUUGCGUUUAGCGACUGUUUAACAAAAACACAGCACUCUGCAACGUCGUCAAGACAACGUAUAGGGUGUGACACGUGACCAAUGCGGAAAGAUCAAGGCGAGUUGUUAGCCGUAAGGCGAAGCUCCGAACCUAAGUCCCCGUGAAUGUCGGCCGUAACUAUAACGGUCCUAAGGUAGCGAAAUUCCUUGUCGGGUAAGUUCCGACCUGCACGAAUCGUGUAACGACUGAACGACUGUCUCGGAGAGGAUCUCGGCGAAAUUGUAACGGCGGUGAAGAUGCCGCCUGCCCGCAGUAGGACGGAAAGACCCUAUGCACCUUUACUGUAAGCUCGUAUUGGGUUCUGGUUAUUUAUGCUUAGCGUAGGUGGGAGACUUUGAAGGCAUGGCUUCGGUUGUGUCUGAGUCGCAAUGUGAAACACCACUCUUAGAUAAUUAGGAUUCUAACCCCAAUUCCUGUUAGCCAGGUGGGGGACAGUGCGUGCGGGUCAGUUUGACUGGGGCGGUUUCCUCCCAAAUAGUAACGGAGGAGCGCGAAGCUUGGUUCAGUACGGUUGGCAACCGUACGUCGAGCGUAUGGGUAUAAGCCAGGUUAACUGCGAGACCAACAAGUCGAGCAGAUGCGAAAGCAGGCCCAAAUGAUCCGAUGGUUGAAUGUGGAAUUGCCAUCGCUCAACGGACAAAAGGUACGCUAGGGAUAACAGGCUGAUCGGUUCCAAGAGUUCAUAUCGACGAACCGGUUUGGCACCUCGAUGUCGGCUCAUCGCAUCCUGGGGCUGGAGAAGGUCCCAAG
rnacentral:rRNA from 1 species